AUGCUCACAAUCCUUCAGUGGAGUUUGAGAUUGAUGACUCAAGUAAUGGUGAUACAAGUGGACCAAAUUCUGUUAGCAAUUCCUACAUUAUCAGCUGUUAGAACAGUUGAUGAGCCCUAUAUGGGUCAGGAGUUUGUAUCAGGAGCUGAAGCGCAUGCGUUUUAUAAUGCAUAUACUACACGUGUUAGAUUCGUCAUACGUGUAAGUAAGCUGUUACAGAUCACUAGAUUUUAA